GAUCUCAUAGAUUUUCUCUCUUUUCUCAGCUUCAAAAUGGUGACGCUUUUCUCCCACAGACAUUUAUCUGAUCUUCAUGUUAGUUUAUCCUUUUUAACAACAAAUGCAAAUGAUAGCUAAACCCAAGAGUAGCUGUUCAGAACUAUUUAUUGUUUAAACAUAUAAUCUAACAGAAACACCCGUCCAUCAAAUGCAGCAAUAUUUUAUUUAUUUUAUGUCGUUUAACACAUCUACAUAUAAAUACCAGCAAAUAAAAGCGGACAUUGUAAUCUCUCCUCAUUUUCCUCUUUUGAUCUCAAACCCACAUGUCUUCAGUCUACAGCAAAAACGAAUGAAUUGGCCUUGCCAAGUAUUUUCGGUUCAAUAGCUGCUAUGACGUAAGCGAGAACAGGAAUAAACUUGCUUCACAGACAUUAAAUGCAACUAUAAACAGAUAAAAAAAAUAUGUUGUUCUUUAAAAAGUAAAAUAAUUGUAAUUACUGGUGAAAUGAUGUGGUGUAAGAGGAAUAAAACACAUGCUGUUAUAGGAAAUAAUAACAUUCAGGGUGGUGAGCGAUGCCACAUAUUAUUUUUCUGUAACAGCACAGCCUGAGUGUUUCAUUCUUUACAUUUCUGUGCACUUAAAAUCUAAAGUUCAAUGUUUAGUUAGGAAUGUUGAAUAAAACAGUAAACAAUAAAUAUGUGCCAUACAGCAGCUCAGUUUUUUCUGUAAAACAAGUGAGAUGAGUUAUUGAGGCCGGUUUUGUUUAACAGGAGUGAAAAUGCGGGUCACACUGCUGCUCGUCUGUCUGUUGGCUCUGGGUUUGGCCGCGCCGGUAAGAGUUCCUCACCGAGGUCAAGUACAUUAAACAUUAACACUGUGCUCUGACUGAAUCACUUCACUCCUGUCUUCUCUCUGAUCUGAUGUGUUUACUCAGCUGCACAAACACCGAGUGACGCGUUCAGAGAGCUCAGAGGAUGAUGGGGUACACACACACACACACAUACACAGUAUAUACAAGUCACUAGUCCAGCCACUAGCCCACUGAGACCUGGCAUCUUUUUCAGGGUGAUUCUGAAGAUGGCAGCAAUGAAGGAAGAGAGAGGGACAGAGGAAAUGGAGGAGAAGAAGAGGAAGAAGAAGAAGGAGAAGGACAAGAAGGAGAAGAAGGAGAAGAAGAAGGAGGAGAAGCAGAAGCAGGAGAGGGAGGAAACAAGGAAGAGGGAGCGCAGGGUGGAGGAGAAGAAGAAGAAGGAGGUGAAGGAGAAGCAGGAAACAGAGAAAAUAAUGAAGGAGUAGCAGAAGGAGGAGAAGAGGAUGGUGGAGAAGGUGAAGGAGAGAGGCGUGAAAGAGAGACAGAGCGCAGAAAGAGAGAUCAAAGUAAUGAGGAGGGAAGUGAAGAGGGAGACAGCGCUGAGGACGAGGACGGAGGAGGAAAAGACAUGAAUAAGAUUGAAGGUGAUGAAGAGGGAGGUGAAGGACUCAGUGAUGGAGAUGAAGAGGAAGGUAAUGGAGGAGAAGAAGACGGAGGAGAACUCUAAAUAGAUCAUCUAAUCAUCUAACACGUGAAGUAACACAGCUGAUGUAACAGUCCUGAUGUAACACACCUGAAUGUUACCUGUGAGAUGGGAGCUGAGCGACAGAGCCCCGCCCAGUCACACGUAUAAAGGCGACGCUGUUUACUUUGCUGUAUGUUUAUAAUCACCUCGUUUUAUUUUCUCCAGUGUAAUUGAAACUGUAGCUGUAUCUUGACAUGUUCUGUAUCACAUGUGUAAAUAAAUGUAUAAACACUCUGA